rfam:Camelus ferus unplaced genomic scaffold scaffold304, whole genome shotgun sequence.
GAGGGUAUAGCUCAAGUGGUAGAGCACAUGUUUAGCAUAUACAAGGUCCUGAGUUCAAUCCCUAGUACCUCCU